GCUGGAGCGCAGUCUGUGUCCGUUAAGUCUUCCCUCGUGCCAUGUCCAUUUUACAAAGGGAGUUUCCUCACGAUAUUAAAUUGUUCGAGGGCCGGGGCCAGAGAGCGCGCCCCCCGAUCGAAAAAUGCUAAAAAAAAAGGGGCAGCCGGAACGGCAGGGGCGAGAGGACUGUGUCUGGGUGGAGACUCGGGGCGAUCGUGCAGCUAAGUGCACAGGAGCGGGGGCUCGGGCCCAAAGUGAUGCUGCGGGUGACCUAAAGCGCGUAGCGAGAGCCUGGCUUCCGCAGGGACGCAGACACCGAAACCUCCCUUCAGCCUAGCCCCAAGCAAGCGAGUCCCUGCGCCAGCCUCCUCCCUGACCUCUUGUGAGCCUGGGCCAGCCGCACUGACACACACGGGCUUUGGGGGAGCUGCCAGACCGAGGCAAUUGCCCCCACCCACAGUGAGACGGGGGAUAAGGGACUGAAGUCCGUUCGGUGAACUAUGGAGGGUCGCUCACUGAGAGGGAUGUCCCCCUCCGCAGUUAGUGGAAACCCGAGGCGGGUCGCUACGAGUGACCCAGGUUUAGCGCAGGCCUAUCUAGGGGAACCUCUUCCAAGGAACGAGACUGAGGCACUAGGGCCACCUCUGCCUGCGAGGCUCCCCUUUACCGAAUGAGACUUGGAGGGGGGGAGGUCUGAGGCUGCCCUGAUCUGGACGAGUGACAGGCAGAGCAAGAGGGCGCUUGGUUGGGCUGCUCGCUCGGGUACUGCCUGUGUUGCGCGAAAUGGCGGCUGCUAUCUUGAUGGGUUUGGUUUUGUUGUUUUUUUUUCUUCUUUCCCCUCCUAUUCCCCUCCCCCACCUCUGCCUUGGCCACUUCUCCGCAGCGAACCGCGGUGAGGACUGAGUGGUGGGGGGGGGUGGACCGCAUUGAAGCCAAUCGCCAGGCUGGCUGGGCAGCCCAGGCGCGCCCGGAUUGGCUGCUGCUGACAUCAUCUUGCAGUAGGGGCAGCCGCAGCUGGGCAGGGCUGAGGAGCUUUUAGGGGAGGCUGGUGCAAAGGGAGAAAACGGGCGCCAUGUUCCCGACGCUGGGGAGUCUGUGAGGGUACGGACAGUGAGGCAAGGUCAUGGGAUGGAAACGAGAAGGCCUUGACAACCAUCACCUAAGCGGUGCCGAGACAGAGGAGCUAAGCGGGGGGAGCGGGCCAGCCUGUGCCUCUAUUUGUAACUGCGUCAGUACAAGAUGGCGCAGGGUCUCCCUGGAGAGGGACGGGAGCUGCACGUCCGCCGGAGGUCAUGUGACCGCGUUGCAUUCUUGUGGGGUUGUUUGGCUGCAGACCAAGCUGGCGGAGACGGUGGCUGCUGCUGGGGAGAGUCCGCGCUUCCUUCCCCGCCCUAGCUGGAAAGUCGGGGUGGAUUUCUUUAUUUCCCUUCCCUAUUACCCGUCUGCAGAAGGGUGUAGCUGGUACUGCUGAGGGAGGUUCUCGCUUCUGGUCCUAUUCCCCACCCCCAGAAUGUGGCAGCUCCUUCUGGGGAAAGUUCAUUCCUCCUCCCUGCAUUGAGCUUAGCUGUUUCAGAAGAAAGUUCUCGUCCUUCCUCUCUCUGACCCAGCCCCCGCUUUCCGGGAGAAUAUGAGGGCGGAGAGUAAUGUUUUCCACAACUCCCGGACAAGGUUGUACGGUGUCUGAUUGCUGCGAUCUAAAUUAGGUCACAUUUGUGAUCCAGUUUGGGUGACUAAAAUGUCUUUGAUUCCUCA